rnacentral:lncRNA from 1 species
AGGAUGCCCAAGAGAUAUGUUGAACAGGUGUGUCCAUCAAUCACUUUCUGGAUUGGAUCUAAUGCUUAUACACUAGGAUAAUAUUCUUUUGCAAGAAUUCUGUUGGGGAAGGAAAUAAUCACUCUUAAGGCAUCUUUCAUGCAGGUCCUGGGUAUCUACCGGGUUUUGCUUCAGGUGGGCUCUCUCUGUAUUUCUAGCCCUCUGUAGUCAGGCCAAACUCAGACAUUAUUUAAAGGAAAAAGGAGACAUAGGGAUAUCUUCCUCCAAUUCUUCCAUUUUCCAAAGGAACUCGAUGGCCACUCAGAAGGGUUUAGAGACACACCUAGGGUCUCAGGUCAGCUAAUGGCACCUUUAUACCAGCCCCCUCCUCCAUCCUCCGUCAGUGUGAUGGCUUCUCCAUUUAGGACAUUUUGGGCUUUUCUGCCUGUCAACUUCUUCAUUCAGCUAAGCUGCUCACAUCAAAUUCCAUUUAAUCUUUGCCGUUCCUUGGAUCCUUCUGAGGAUGGAUGGUUGCGUCUGCGUGUUUCCGACCCCCCCCCCACCAUAAUCUGUCAUCUUCUUAGAGGAAUCUGCCAUACCAGAGGUGGCCUCGGUGCUGAAUCAGAGAAGCAGAAACUGAUAUGAAUUCGUCUAGAGGACCACAGGCGAACACCCUCGCAGUGGGUUCUAUCCAGAGUUUGAGGGGGUGAAGUUAGGAACAAGAACUGUCUUUCUGUCCCCCUCGCCCAUCUGCCCUUACACAGUAGAGUGCUUAAGAGUCACACAAUUCUCCCACAUCUUGUGACCUUAGCAAAUUAACCUCUCUGUACCUCAGUUCCCGUAGCCAUCAAUUUAUCCCUCUCUUGGGGUCCCUCUCUUUCUUGCAGUGCUGGGGAUCAAACCCCAGGGCCUUAUGCAUGCUAAGCAACUGACCACUGAGCUAUAACCUCAGUUCUAAUGUCUAUCUCUUAAGGCAAUUGUGAAAACUAAAUAGUGUCAGGCACAGUGUCUGACAUAUAGUAAUCAAUAUUAGUAUUAUUGUCAUUGUAAUCAUAUUUUUCCCACUCUGUAUUUUAGAGAAGAGGGAUGGAGGAGAAAAAGGAAAAAUGAAGAGUUUGAUGUUAUUAUUGGUGCUGGGACAGAACCCCGGGCCUCUGCAUACUAAGCUCAUGCUCUGCUCUUGACUCACACCUCCAGGCCAGGAGGUUCUGAGCCAAUGGAAUAAGUCAAAAGAUCAUUAAAAUGGGCUUCAUUCAAUGUCAUGUUCCUCAGAAAGUUAGUAAUGAUUGCUUUUUCUUAUUUACAACAUAUCUAACAUCUGCUAUCUCGCUUGCUCUUUUCCACAAAGUAGUUUUCUUGGCUAGUUUGCAGAGAAAGCUGCUGGACACAGAGAUAAGAGCUUUCUUAAGGUCUCAAAGGUCUCAAUCAGGGCUGGGAUUUAGACCCUGGAUGUGUGAAGUCAGGGUUGGGUUUUAUUUUUAUUUUAUAUUUUUCCCUCUGGGAGAGGCUGCCUGUCUAAAUUUCUCCUGCUGUCAGAAAUGUUCUACCUAGAUUCCUGGAUCUGACCUUAGAAGUCAUCUAGUCCAAAUUCCCACUCAGUGUAGCCAUACCUUCUCACCAAGCAUGCAUUGUUUAAAUUCUGGAACUCCUGCAGGGAGAGGGAAUUCUGACCUGCACGCUUGUGUUGUUAGAAAGCUGUAAAGGUUAUGAGGCUCGGUGGCCCCUCCUGCUGCCAGGUCACACCCAGGACAUGUCCAUUUAGUGCCAGGGAGACCUUGUCAGCUUGUGGCUUGGCUUGAGUGGUAGCUGGAGAGCUGGUAAAGAGGAGAUGUGGCACGCCUAGAGCUCUGAGCUGGGCAGGACCAGGCUGUCAGGUGCCAUCACUGGCUGGAGAAGGGCUGCAGCCUCCAGGGCAACUUGGUGCCAGACAGCAUUAUCAUUAAGAGAUGCAAUGGAAAUUCCCCAGACACCACUGCUUCAUUCUUUGUGGGAGCGAAUUCCUCUCCAUCCUUCUCAUUUCUUUCCUGAUUGGCAGAUGUUCCCCCACUUCCUCUGGAGCCAGAAGUAAAUGCCUUCUGGCACACAGAAUCUCUUAAGUUAUAUCACCACCAUCACCAUCAUCCUGAUUGUCAUUACUAUGGCAACUCCAUUUAUUUGCUCUUACCAUGUUCUAGGCACUAUGCAAAGCACUUUCUAUGCAAUCGCUCAUUAUUUCUCACAAGAAUCCUGUGAAGAGACAUGAUUAUCCCUGGGAAAGAAACUGGAGUACUGAGAGGGAAAGCGACCUGCCCAAGGUCACACAGCAAACAAGCAUCAGAGCCCAAACUUGUUCCCAAGACCAUGUCCAAAGCCAGCAUACCAAACUGCCUCUCAGAGUUCUGUGCCACCUGCUGCCUCCUCCGUCCUCAGUUGUGCUCAUUCUGAGUCAAGUACACGAGAUUCAGCUAGAAACAAAAAAUCUGAUUUUCUGCAAACAUCUUGUGAGGUGGUUUCUUGGUGUUAUGUCACUGUCCACUCCCAGGCUUCCUUUGGUUCCCACUCCCAGUUGGGAAGGUCUGUGUUGGUCUCUGCCAGCACCAGUCUGGCUCCUGCAUGCAGCAGAGAUUCUGACUCUUGCCUCUGAGGGGCAUCAAGCCAGGAUGGGCCCUUAGUCUGUCUGACAUCCCCGAUUUCUGAGAUUUCCUAAAACUGACCCUUCUUGGACUCACCAAACUUGAGCCUUGGACUGGGUUCCUUCACCUUGAUUCUGAGUGUCUCCUUUCCCUUUAAGGGAUCAGAAUACUGCUCCUUCUCUCUAUAAGCCUGGAAUUGGCUUAGGACAUUGGAAGGGUGCCUCUGUAGCCCCACAGUGGGGGACUUUGGGGAGAAGCAUGAGAGGACAAGGGACGGGUGGUUCUGCUUCUCAGCCUGGUGGUACAGGCUGCCCCUGGGUCUUGGGAUCUUCUCCUAGGCCAUGGAGGCAGCUGCUCAGAAGUGCAAUGGGAUGAGAGGAUAGGGGCACAGCCCUGGGCUUCUCACACAAGGAC